ensembl:misc_RNA 7SK 7SK RNA
GAACCUAGGGGCGAUUUGGCUGCAACAUCUGUCACCCCUUCGACUCCCAGGAUUGAUCCAGCUGGCUUGGUAAUGUCCCCAUCCUCCCUCCCAACUCCAUGUGUAUUCCUCCCGAAGCUGUGCACUUGGUUGAAGAGAACCACCUUCCCUGAUAGAGGAGGACAGUUCUUCUGUCAAGGGUAUGUCAGCAGCUAUGGUCCCCUGCUAGGAUCUCCAAACAAGCUCUCAAGGAAGUGUUGAGCAGCCUAUUAUGUAUAUGAACCAAGAGCUCAGGGACAGGGCCUGGAUGGAAAUGCAAAUUCAUAUUUGAGGACAUUU